rnacentral:lncRNA from 1 species
AGCAACUACUCUGUGUCAGGUACUGUAUCAGGCACUGAGAAUGUAAGAAUAAAUAAGACAGUCCCUGCUCUCAAGGAGCUUACAGUCUAGCAUAAGAACUUACAGCACCUUAGAAUCUAAGAAAGCUUUCUGGGUAUCUAGCAUAUUAUCUGGAACAAUCCAAGUGAAAAAUAUGAAUCCAAAAUUUACCAGAAAGCACAGUUUAGAAAUGAAGGAUGCAGUGAAAUUUAAGAGAAAAUUCAAAUAUUCACUCUUCAGUGUAAAAGCCAUGAAAUCUAAAUGAGGAAGAAACUUAGGAAAGCUGAAAAUUCAACCUAUUUUAAAGACUUUGGACCAGAUUUAAAUUUUAAAAAUUACUUUAUUAUCUCUGGGUAACAUUUUCAUUUACAGUGACAUUUACAUACACAUACAUAUAGGAGGUGUGUGUAUGUGCAAUGUGCUCCUCGGAGCUUCUGAUAAAACCCAUAUAUCUCUAUUAUUAAUUUUCAACUAAAGAGAGCAGCAUGAAGGUAAACCAGACACUUUUCUUUCAAUAAUAAUUUCCAUUAUCACUUGGAUGGGAAAAACUCUUAGAACAUCACUUAGAAUCAUCUCUAGGAUAUAAAUUUUAGUACAAUCAGACUAAACUGUCUUUGUAACAACAUGUGAUAAUUUAAGCAUAUAUUUUAAUGGUUAUUGACAAAGUUAAUGGCGUCUAAAAUAGUCUUAAAUCCAUCUGGAUUUAUUUUCCUGUACCCUUCCUUUUUCUUUCUUAAAUGCAUAAAAGACCCCUUGUGCAAAUAAAGAACUUUUGUUGUUGCUUUGCUGUACUUUGGUACAUUGCUAUUUAUUUCUUGAUGUAGCAGCACCCUUCCUUAGUUUGUAGUAUCUUACUUAAGCUGCAACUGGAAAAUCACUAGCCUAGGCUUUAACUGGGAUCUUUUAUUAUCCAGAAGGUAAAUGGAAAGCAACCAACGAUGCUGUCUCACAGAUUGUGCACCCAGUUUGUUUAGCUCGUACUGCAGACACUGAACAGGCUUGAUUAUCUUAUGUCCCAGCUCAUAACAGACGGACACAGCACAUUAGAAGAAAAAUGUUAGAGGCAGGCAUGUUGUUUGAACACACUACUUAGGAGAUAUUAAAACAUGAAAAAAUUAGCAAUUGGAGGCAAAUGAUUAUAUAUACCUCAAAGUUGAGGGAAUCUCUUUGAAGAUAUUAACUCAUAUUUGUUAUAGCCCUUUAUAUUUUAUGAAAUAUUUAUAUACAUCAGAGCUCACUGGGUAUUUUUAAUAAUACAUUAUGUAUAUAACUUUAGUGAAUUAUACUGAGCAUGCUAAGAAGGCAGGGAGGUACAUUAACAUACCUGAAAGACUUGCAUCAAAAAUAACUACAAGUUUUAAAUUUUGGCACUUAAGAGAUAUGUAUCAGCUAUACAAAAUUCAUUUAUGUGGUUUCCUUCAUGACCUACACAGGUGUUAUUGAGUGGAUUUUC